rnacentral:rRNA from 1 species
UAGGUGAAGUGGUUUACCCAUGGAGCUGAAGCCAGUCGCAGAUACCAGCUGGCUGCAACUGUUUAUUAAAAACACAGCACUGUGCAAACACGAAAGUGGACGUAUACGGUGUGACGCCUGCCCGGUGCUGGAAGGUUAAUUGAUGGGGUUAUCCGUAAGGAGAAGCUCUUGAUCGAAGCCCCAGUAAACGGCGGCCGUAACUAUAACGGUCCUAAGGUAGCGAAAUUCCUUGUCGGGUAAGUUCCGACCUGCACGAAUGGCGUAAUGAUGGCCACGCUGUCUCCACCCGAGACUCAGUGAAAUUGAAAUCGCUGUGAAGAUGCAGUGUACCCGCGGCAAGACGGAAAGACCCCGUGAACCUUUACU